rnacentral:misc_RNA from 1 species
AAGACUAUAGACCUGCGGAGUACCUGCGGAAGGAUCAAUACAAAACGGAGUGGCUGCCGGGCUGGAUGCGUGGGUCGUGGCUUUGGUCUGGACCCGCAGACGACACCGGCAGCCAACAUGUGUGCGGGCUUCGGCUCGUGACAUUUGCGCAUGUAGAGUGUGACAGAGUGGGUUGGUUGGACAAAACAACUUUCAGCAAUGGAUCUCU